CAUGAGAUCCAGUUAUUCUCAGCUGGGGAACACAAAUAUGUACAAGCCAUUUUAAGGGUUUCCAGAUAUGAAGUUGUGUGGAGGCAGGAUACCAGGCUGCCCUGUUUACAAAUAUAUCCCAGUGUUAGUACAACGACUAACCCAUGAGAAGCCCACCUGCUCCAGAAAGCAACCAUUAGCGUUAUGGAUCCAAAUUUCCCGUGAUCAUUCCUACGAUGACCCUAAAAGGCGAUGCUAGACUGGAGAGUCUGCGGAUCAGUGCUUGACUACUUCCUGAAGGCUGAGAAGAUUAUGUGUGGUGGCAGAACGUUGGUAUUGAGGGUACAUAAAUGCAGGAACUGCCAGAGUGGAGGCUGCAGAAGGGGGCUUCGGAGGAUGAUGAAGAAACAGACGCUAGAGCGCUUAUCUGUUCAAGUAUUUAUUGAUUAUUCACGACGUGCCAGGCACUGUAUUAACAGAGGGCUUCAGCAGUAGACCUACCAAUGUCCCUACUUUAACUGAGCAAAUUCCGAUGCAGUAAGCCAGGUAACACACACACAUAAACACAUAUAUCACAUACAUACAUAUGUACAUGUCAGGUGGAAAUAAAUGCUAAUUAUAAAACCAAAGCAGAGCAAGGGAACAGCGAAUGAGGGUGGCUGCUAUUUCAGGAGACUCCCCCCACCC